CUCUUAUCCAUUAAAAGCUUACAAUUAUUACUACAUAUGAAGUUUCAUAUGAAGUUAUGACUGAUAGUUAUGGCUGUAUUAAAUUGCUUGAUCUUGAUUUACUAAAAGUAAAUCAGUUUUUCUUUUGUGGUAGUUAUUGCACUUCUACGAUUUCAUUAUGUAUUGAAUAAAUAAGAGGCAGUGGAUAGUUUUUGUUGCCAGGACUUGAAGGCAAAGUAUGCAACUGAAGUCAUUAAGUUAAUUUAUUGUUUUACAAACAAAAUAACUCCAAACAUAAUGGUUGUUUCCAAACAGGUAUUUCAAACACCUUUAUUUGGAAAACAUGUAAUCUGCUUCAAACUGUUAUUUUGAUGUGAAAGCCUUUGAUGUGUUCUCUGUGUGUGUAUUAUGUCUGUGUGAAUGUGUUUGCUGUCCAUCAUAUGCACAUUAUUUAUCUAGAAAAUGGGCCACAGAAAACAACAAGAUUGAAGUGUCAUCCAGUAAAAGCAUGAAAUGCUGGAACAACAACAUGGACAACCAAACGUCAUUUGGGAAGCAGAUCUGAAUGAAGCCUGGAAGCAGAUCGCAUUUGGAUUGGGUUUUGUUCGGGCUGAGAUUCCAGAAAAUGCAGAAGACUCUAUGAUCCAGUUCUGACGUGGCUCGCCUUCCCCUCUACUCGCGUAAAUCCCUUCCUUCACCUCAUCAAGAGGUGUAUGAAUAAUAAAUCAUUGUUAAAAUUUGAUUCUGGAGUAUUACGCUGAAGCACAUUGAGAAUCUUUUACCGGUUUGAACGUGACUGGAUUAUCCAACUCUCUUCCAUCGUUUGCGCUAUGAAAGAAGGCGGGAAAGCGGAACUUUACAGAGAAGAUCAACAGGAAACAGAGCUUUACAGUCAAAUGUCUGCUUAUUUUAGAAACGGAUAAGCUUCAAAUUUAAUUUUGAAGUAUAUUUAUGCGCCAUGCUAAGCUAGUGUAAAAUUAGAGCCCUGGUUAAGCCUAAAUAGAAAAGGAAGUGCAAUUAAGGCUGUUUUUUAUUGAAUAUGUCUACACUGAUCAGUCCUACAUGGCCUCUCGGUGAAUACGUGAGAUAACUUGGCCGUAAAUACAAAUUCUUUGACCCAAUUGCACAGCAAAACAACUAUAUAUAAUUUCAGGCAGGAGUUGUGAGAGUAAAAUGGGCUGCUGGGGAUGGUGUGUACUGUCAGCAUUCAUUUGUGCAGCAGUAUCCCUGCACUGGGCCGGCCCACACCUACAAUCUCUUCACAUGAAUAAAAAAUGACAUUUCAAUUUAUCUUUGUUGUUACGUUCUGGCCCUUGCAUACUGAUUUUCUAUGUUUCAGGGAAAAUGAAGCAGUGGAAAAACAGAACAGAAUCUGCCAGGGAACUCACAGUGCUUUCCUUGAAUAAGAAUCAAACGUUAAUCUACCAGUCGGGAGGAUAUAUUAUUGCUUUUUUUCAGUUCACAUAGAAGGUGUUUGAGAUGAGAUUGGGUGAAUGGUAUGUUUUACCAUGCAUGAAAAUGGAAUACGUUGAAAGUUACGCACGCAUUCUAGUGGAGGAAACGUCUG
ensembl:lncRNA